rnacentral:rRNA from 1 species
AUUGAACGCUGGCGGCAGGCUUAACACAUGCAAGUCGAACGAGUGGCGGACGGGUGAGUAAUGUCUGGGAAUCUGCCUUAUGGAGGGGGAUCACGACGGGAAACUGUCGCUAAUCCCACAUACCCUAGGCUGAGCCCAUGUGGGAUUAGGUAGUUGGUGGGGUAAUGGCCCACCUAGGCGACGAUCUCUAGCUGGUCUGAGAGGAUGACCAGCCACACCGGAACUGAGACACGGCCCAGACUCCUACGGGAGGCAGCAGUGGGGAAUAUUGCACAAUGGGCGCAACCCUGAUGCAGCCAUGCCGCGUGUAUGAAGAAGGCCUUCGGGUUGUAAAGUUCUUUCGGUGAGGAGGCGUUACUCGCAGAAGAAGCACCGGCUAACUCCGUGCCAGCAGCCGCGGUAAUUC